GCGCCACUAGCUCAGCUGGUAGAGCACUCGACUUUUAAUCGAGUUGUCACAGGUUCAAACCCUGUGUGGCGCACCA
rnacentral:tRNA from 4 species